rnacentral:rRNA from 1 species
UACGUAGGGUGCGAGCGUUAAUCGGAAUUACUGGGCGUAAAGCGUGCGCAGGCGGUUAUGUAAGCCAGUUGUGAAAUCCCCGGGCUCAACCUGGGAACUGCAUCUGUGACUGCAUAGCUAGAGUACGGUAGAGGGGGAUGGAAUUCCGCGUGUAGCAGUGAAAUGCGUAGAUAUCUGGAGGAACACCGGUGGCGAAGGCGACAUCCUGGACCGGUAUUGACGCUGAGGCGCGAAAGCCAGGGGAGCAAACGGG